rnacentral:rRNA from 1 species
AGUGAACGCUGGCGGUAGGCCUAACACAUGCAAGUCGAACGGCAGCACAGUAAGAGCUUGCUCUUACGGGUGGCGAGUGGCGGACGGGUGAGGAAUACAUCGGAAUCUACUUUUUCGUGGGGGAUAACGUAGGGAAACUUACGCUAGUACCGCAUACGACCUACGGGUGAAAGCAGGGGAUCUUCGGACCUUGCGCGAUUGAAUGAGCCGAUGUCGGAUUAGCUAGUUGGCGGGGUAAAGGCCCACCAAGGCGACGAUCCGUAGCUGGUCUGAGAGGAUGAUCAGCCACACUGGAACUGGGACACGGUCCAGACUCCUACGGGAGGCAGCAGUGGGGAAUAUUGGACAAUGGGCGCAAGCCUGAUCCAGCCAUACCGCGUGGGUGAAGAAGGCCUUCGGGUUGUAAAGCCCUUUUGUUGGGAAAGAAAAGCAGCAGGUUAAUACCCCGCUGUUCUGACGGUACCCAAAGAAUAAGCACCGGCUAACUUCGUG